ACAUUCUUUAUGCUGCAAUGAUGGAAGGAAGGGGGCCCAGGUUUGCAACAAAGACCAAAAGAGAAAAAAAGAAAACUUGACUCUCAUUUUCUUACCUGUGUGCAGUGGCAUUUUCCAGAGGCUGGCUGCAUGACAUGUUACAUCACACAAAAGAAGAAAUGAAAACCCUUUAUAAAGCCAGACGUUAAAGAGAUUUUUAGAAAGGUGUCUGUGUCGGCGGGCAUGUCUUUUUGAUCAGCUCCCCAUCCCGUGGCUCCAUGCAAACCUGCUUUGUGGUUCUAAGCAGUCGAGAACCACAACCUUGAGACUGCAGCAACACCUUGGAAUGCAGCUGCUACUGACCAUUGAGACGCCCUCCUGAGGCGCAACAGGAAACAAACCAAACAAACCAUCAGGACACAUGUUUGAAAAGACUGACACCUCCUCAAGAAGAUCCUCAGGCAGGUCCUUCAGAAGUUAUUUCAGAAAAGGAAUUGCUAUUAUAAAAGAUGACAGCUCCAUGCCUGUUACUGCCCUUGAAGACCCUCCAGUGGUGUAGGAUGUGCACAUGGAAGACAGUGAUAUCGAUGGUCCUGACUUAGCUAAGUGUAGGUGACAUGUGAGAGUCUUUCUUUAAAAACCGAUUGAAUAUAACAAAUGCGAUACUAGUAAAGGUGAUAGUCAAUAUUUUGCAAACAGAACCUGAAUUAAAAAAAAAUUUAAAACAAUGAUCAGAUGCGUCAAUGUAUGUAGAACAAAAGUGUUUUGUUUGUGGUGAAAAUGCCAUUGACCAAGAAAAAAAGUGUAAAAUUAAUAAAGGAUUUUAUCACCAAUUAAGGAAGGUGACACACCC